AACGUUUAACACACACGAUGGAUUGUACAAGAAAGAUACUUGCAGUAAUUAUUUGCCUUGCUGUUGUUGAUGGUCAGACUCUGACUGAAUCUGAACCAGUAGUAAAAAACCCUGGAAACUCCCACAAACUGACCUGCACAGGAUCUGGAUUCACAUUCAGCAGCUACUGGAUGGCCUGGAUCAGACAGGCUCCUGGAAAAGGACCUGAGUGGGUUGCAACUAUUGAAUAUGACAGUGAUAGUAAAUUUUACUCUCAAUCAGUUCAAAGUCGGUUCACCAUCUCCAGAGACAACAACAAACAGCAGGUGUAUCUGCAGAUGAACAACCUGAAGAUCGAGGAUUCUGCUGUUUAUUACUGCACUCGAUAGACACAGUGACUGAAGUCGGUUUAGCAGCUGUGCAAUAACCUCCAUGCCUUUAAAGUUAUCUGAA